rnacentral:lncRNA from 1 species
UGUAACUUGCGGCUGAAAUCACUAUAAUAGAUACAAAUAUAUUCACGGCUAUCUCUAUAAUAAUGCUACAUUUUUUUCUUUACAAUAAACUUCCCUAAAGGGGUAGAUACAAAUCUCAGACAUUAGAAAGUAUAUGUAAUACCAGUCACAUCUAUGUAACCAAGACCCAUUAUAUCCACUAUUGUGGUAAGAACAAAACAGAACAAACAAAAACCAAGUAUUAAAUAAACAAAUUUGAGGAUACAAAAUCAUGCUCCACCUGAGAAUAUGUUUAGCUUAGAGCUUAAUAGAUUUUCUUUGAGCACUCUUUGAAAUAUGAGACAAAGUUUCUUCUAAACAGUUGUAGAGGGUGUGGAUAGGACAAGACAGGCUCAGCUUGUAUGAAGAAGUUUUCAGUGUUUUCAAAAUAAAAUUAUAAUAGGGCUGUCCAAGAGGAGGGUGGGACUUCUCGUAGAUCAGGAAGCAAACCUUUGCCAAUGGAGAUACUUACUCAAGGAUGGAAUGACUGCUCUGAGGGUGUUACAGAGGAGAGUCAUGUUUUGAGAAGGGUUUGAGGAGAUGAUAUUUGAGGGCUUUCCAAAAGAUUGCGUGAUUCAACUCCAGUGGCACUUAACUUAGAGCCUGUGUCAGGGCACGGCCCUAGUUGGUCUCCUUAAAGGUGGACUGCCAAUAGACUAGCUCUUCAUCCUCAUGACAUUGAAUUUAGAGUUGCUGCAGUAUAUUGUGUACUUCAGAAGCAAUUAUUUGCAUUGAGGAGAAAGUUGAGUCAACUAACGAAAAAGUGAGAUCUUUGGGUUUUCCAUCAACGGUCCUUAAACUCCAUAUCUUGAACUAUUCUAAGAGUGGCUGAAAGUUGGCACAAACCACACCACAAACUUUAGAGAAGAUAUGCAAAGACCAGGCAAACUAGUGUGCACACAGCUCACAGCACGAAGCAUGCCUGGAAGUCAGCACAAGAGCAACAAUUAAAAUAUCACAAGAUGAGCUCUAGACCCAGUUAGGUAGAGCUUCUUUGUGUAAUGACCUUUCUCGUGGUGUGAUAGCAAAUACAAUGGGCUGGCCUCAUAAAUCAUACCUCCAGCAAACAUCCGCAGGGCAGACUUUGAC